UGCUUUGCGGCUAGAGAUUCUUUCCCAACGCUAAACCGCUCUAGGAGAAAUCCACCAGCCCUCCCAGAGCAGAACACUUCACUUUGAAAAACACACACACACUCCAAAAACCCCGUCCUCUCCCAGGAAACGACUUCUCCCAGAAGUUACUAGCGGAAGCAGAACAGCUGAGUCAACCAAGAGGAACUGCUCCACCUCAGACUGGGCCCUCCUUCAGUCUCCACUUGAGCCGCUGUUCCUGCAUCGCAGGGGUUUGGACUAGAUGGUCCCUGAGGUUCCCUUUCCAGCUGUACAUCUCUAUGAUUCUACAUGGAAAACUCAAACAAGGACACGGUGCUGUUGGAGGGAGAAAAUGACCUAGCAUCUUUUCAACACUCCUGUAGCUGUCAAACCCUCAUUAGCCGCAGCUAAAUUUAGUUCCAAGACCACCGUCUUCCAAUUUGCGCAUCACGCCAGAGAGCCCCAGGACGAUGCCAGCGGAACGGAUGGCUCACCGUCACGGGGUCUCCACUCGCCGCAGUCCUGGCAAGGGCUGUGUCGUUCUUGCAUCACCCUGGGCUCCUUCUUCUUCUGCUUCUCACACUCCUCCUACGUCACCCAAGGACCCGGGACAGUCCGGGGAACACACACAGGAUUGCAUUUCCCUCUGGCCUCCCAAAGACCAAGAGCAUUACAGGGCCCACAAAAGCUGCAGAGAAGGAAGGAAGGAAAGAAAAGGGGAGGGGGGAGAGAGAGAUCCAGCCUUUUCCUCCUCUUCUUCCUCUCCCUGCCUCAGCCACAACUGUGUCCCUAUCCCAGUCACAAAUCCCCACCAAGUCCUUGCAAAAUGCAUUCCUGCCCAGGAUUAGGCAACGGGCAUUAACGGCUUUUGUAAGAGACUUAGAAAUUCUUGCAGCAUCCCUUCUAGAGGAGAAGAAGAAGAAGAAGAAGAAGAACAUCAUACACAAUACACAAAUCCACCCUCAUUAAACGUGAACAUAACA